rfam:Macrostomum lignano uti_cns_0005013, whole genome shotgun sequence.
GCGCGCUCGACCCGGCAGACAGGACAGCAGUGCCUGUGGCCAACCCUCAGCAGCAGGGUCGGGGUCUGGCGCGC